UACGUAGGAUGCAAGCGUUGUCCGGAUUUAUUGGGCGUAAAGCGCGCGCAGGCGGCAUGGUAAGUAAGGUGUGAAAUCUCUCUGCUCAACGGAGAGGGUGCACUUUAGACUGCCAAGCUAGAGAGCGGUAGAGGGGGGUGGAAUUGCUGGUGUAGCGGUGAAAUGCGUAGAGAUCAGCAGGAACACCCGUGGCGAAGGCGGCCCCCUGGGCCGUUUCUGACGCUGAGGCGCGAAGGCUAGGGGAGCGAACGGG
rnacentral:rRNA from 1 species